GAUAAGAACGUAGCAAAAUGCGAUAAGUAAUGUGAAUUGCAGAAUUCAGUGAAUCAUCGAAUCUUUGAACGCACAUUGCGCCCGCCAGUAUUCUGGCGGGCAUGCCUGUUCGAGCGUCAUUUCAACCCUCAAGCACAGCUUGGUGUUGGGACUCGCGUUAAUUCGCGUUCCCCAAAUUGAUUGGCGGUCACGUCGAGCUUCCAUAGCGUAGUAGUAAAACCCUCGUUACUGGUAAUCGUCGCGGCCACGCCGUUAAACCCCAACUUCUGAAUGUUGACCUCGGAUCAGGUAGGAAUACCCGCUGAACUUAAGCAUAUCAAAAGCGGAGGA
rnacentral:misc_RNA from 1 species